GCUCCCAGUUCUGGGGAAUGUUUUCUAUUUUGAAAUAACCUGCAGUUUGCUAUUUCAAUUCAGCAACAUGGACAAUGUUAGCCUUACUCUGACCCCUUCCCUGACACCUGGGUCCUAGGAGGUCACUGCCUGGCAAUACCAUCCCUUAAGAUUAGCCAUUGACUUCCCAGAGCACUGCACACACACACACACACACACACACUCCACCACACCACACACGCUGGUGUGAACUGGUUAAACGAUGGGGGCCUAAAUGAGAGGGAAAAGGGGGCGGAGAACCGAGGAUACAGAUCUUAGAUUUCAAGGUCAUAGCGAUCACCCAGCAAGAGCCAAAGACCAGGAAGAAUUUGCUAGAAACUCGAACCUAGCCAGCAGGUGGUAGAUUAUGACUUUCCUAUAGACUGUUCUGAGCUAGGUGCCAUCUCCCAUCCCACUUCUGAAUGAAUGACCCAAACAUAGACCACCGGGGCCUUCUGGCAAAGCAGUCACUCAGAUCUGAACCACCCAGGCACGGGUGAGGGAGGCUUUCUAGUGACCCGCCGGCUCCUGGCCCAGGAAGACGGCGUUCAGAGAGCGGCCAGAGGAGGGCGCUCGCCUCCCCCUUCCUCAGAUCCCGCUGUCACAGCGGGCUGCGCGCCUGCUUGCCUGGGAGCUGGAAGGAGGCUGAGGCUGGCUUCCAGUCCCAGCGCGGAUCUGACCUGCUCGGUGACCUUGAGCAAGGUUCCCACUGGGACAAUAACUGGGAGGGGCCCUUUUUGCCCAGAGACUCCGCUAUUCCAAGAGGUUUGGAGCAGAGAGGGAAAGAGAAGAGGAGGGCUGAAAGGAGCUGGGAGGAGGAGCCAGGGGUCCAGGGCAGACCCUGGUAGCCGAGGGUCACCGCCCAGCCCAGUCCUAGGACACGCCAGCUCCAGCCUACGCAAUCUCCAGGAAGCUGCUGGUGAGAGAAACAGAAGCUGUCCUCCCCAGUUCCCUGCCUCCCGUCCUAGAAAACAAAGUGUCCAGGGCCAGAGAUGAAGGUGGAGCCAGUCAGAGAGGCUGCACCCCUUUCGGAUGAGAAGCAGAGGAAGGGCCUGGAGUGAAGCGAUACUAGUCCGGCUGCUUCGACCGGAGGGGAUUAAAGGGCAUCGUUGAAGCAGCAGCGACACCAGUGCUGAGAUCAUCGGCAUGAGCCUCCACACCCGACCUAUGUCGUGUUUGAGAGCCACCCCCAGGACUUCAUGUAUUCUAGACAAGCACCCUACCAACCAAGCUACAUCCCAACCCUGCUGGCUACUUUUAUCGCUGAAAGACGGGGCUGCCCCUUGGGGCUUCCUAACAGUAUGAUUAGAAAGUCCCCUCACACCUCAUGGGUCUCCUUCCCUAACAUCAUCCCCCAUCGACUUCUUAAGAUGCCUGGAAUUCACAGUUUCCCACAAAUCAUUUGCAAAAAUAAUAAAUUCCCCCUUUUUUUCCUACUGA